UCUAUUCCAUGAGGUGCGGUAGCGGCCUCCGGCGUCUUCUCGCCGGGUGGUAGGGGUAACACCCUCACGCUCCGCAUGUCUAUAUCCUUUUUUUACGAGCACCUUUCGUUCUCCUUCGGUGGGGCAACCUGCCGUUGGAACUAUCAAAACUCUUUUGCAUCUAGCAUUACCUGUUCUGAUACAAACAAUCGUUA
rnacentral:misc_RNA from 1 species